rnacentral:lncRNA from 1 species
GGACCAUUUUUUUCUUUAAUGACUUUUCACGGACGACAGAAUGUUGAACUUGGUGUAUUUGAGUAAAAUUUUGCAUACAGUUUGCAAGGUUUGUCCGACUAACUACGCACACAACCCACACGUUUACAUCAUACAGAGUAUCCUGUAUUUUGUAUUAGGAUGUUGAUUUUCUUUUUAAUUUUCACAACUAACAGAAUGUUUUAUCUUUCUUGACUGCUGC